AUGAAAACCUUCAUCAAAACUCAAGUCCAAUCCUGCUUGGUGUGUCAGCAAGCUAAACCAGAAAGAGUUCAGUACCCUGGAUUGCUAUCUCCUCUGCCAGUACCUUCCAAAGCUUGGGACACCGUGUCUAUGGAUUUUAUCUCAGGUCUUCCUACAUCCUUCCAGUACAACUGCAUACUUGUGGUGAUUGACAAGUUCUCUAAAUAUGGCCAUUUCGUUCCUCUCUCACACCCCUUCAAUGCUUAG
rnacentral:rRNA from 1 species